AGCAAGCAGAUAACCAGGGAGUUUAAACAAACGGUGGUGGCCAGCAACCCUCACCAGAUGUGCCACAUGGCUAAGGACAUUGGGAGAACACAAGAGCCUCAAUACCCAGAAGACUGAUCACAUGAACACCCUUGGGAAGGACCUGGAUAUCAGAUGCUGUAAGCUGACAGUCAACUGAAACAAAGGAGAACACAUUCGACCUCAGCCAGAUCACAGCUACAUGGGGCAUGCCAUGCUUUUUCAAGUACAGUGGAAAGGAAGUUUGCUUCAGCCAGAGAGAAGCAACUCUAUUUUCCUAAGUGGAAGUUAAGGUUUGAUCAAUGCCUGCAGGUUACAGCCAGCUGCCCAGCCUUUAUGUGAGUGCCUUGGAUCUAAACUAUGGUCCUUAUUCUUGCACAGCCAGUGAUUUGCCGACUGAGCCAUCGCCUCAACCCCAAAGAAAAAAUCCCACAGAACUCUAAAAGUGUCUAAGGAGGCCAGAAGAGGUUUAUGGAUUCCCUCUGCCUGGGAUUGCCUGAAGUGGGUGCCAGGAACUGAACUUCCACCUCUGCAAAAGAAGCAAAUGCUCUCAGCUGCUGAGCCAUCUCUCCAUUCCCUGAACAGAAUUCUUCAUAACUGUAAAGGCAUAAAAAGACAUUGACUAUUGCUUGUCUGCAUAAAGAAAAAUUACUGCUUCCAGUCUGUCUGGGCUGGUGUCCUGAGCAGACCUUGGGCGCAAGCUCCAUAG